AACCUCCGCAAUGUGAGAAAUCGCGACGGGGGGAUCCCAAGUGCCAUUCUUAACGGGAUGGCUUUUCAUUAGUGUAAAGAGCUUUUGGAAUAAGGGCUGGGCAAGACCGGUGCCAGCCGCCGCGGUAACACCGGCAGCUCUAGUGGUAGCAGUUUUUAUUGGGCCUAAAGCGUCCGUAGCCGGUUUAAUAAGUCUCUGGUGAAAUCCUGUAGCUUAACUGUGGGAAUUGCUGGAGAUACUAUUAGACUUGAGACCGGGAGAGGUUAGAGGUACUCCCAGGGUAGAGGUGAAAUUCUGUAAUCCUGGGAGGACCGCCUGUUGCGAAGGCGUCUAACUGGAACGGUUCUGACGGUGAGGGACGAAAGUUAGGGGCGCGAACCGGAUUAGAUACCCGGGUAGUCCUAACCGUAAACGAUGCGGACUUGGUGUUGGGGUGGCUUUGAGCUGCUCCAGUGCCGAAGGGAAGCUGUUAAGUCCGCCGCCUGGGAAGUACGGUCGCAAGACUAGAAUUUAAAGGAAGU
rnacentral:rRNA from 1 species